GAAACAAGAAGCUUGGGACAAAUUCCAGUGGAAGAGUCUCUAUUUUGAGACUACUAAGCUUUCUGACC
rnacentral:ncRNA from 1 species